GUAGGUGGCAAGCGUUGUCCGGAAUUAUUGGGGCGUAAAGCGCGCGCAGGCGGUUCUUUAAGUCUGAUGUGAAAGCCCACGGGCUCAACCGUGGAGGGUCAUUGGAAACUGGAGAACUUGAGUACAGAAGAGGAAAGCGGAAUUCCACGUGUAGCGGUGAAGUGCGUAGAGAUGUGGAGGAACACCAGUGGCGAAGGCGGCUUUCUGGUCUGUAACUGACGCUGAGGCGCGAAAGCGUGGGGAGCAAACAGGAUUAGAUACCCUGGUAGUCCACGCCGUAAACGAUGAGUGCUAAGUGUUAGGGGGUUUCCGCCCCUUAGUGCUGCAGCUAACGCAUUAAGCACUCCGCCUGGGGAGUACGGCCGCAAAGGCUG
rnacentral:rRNA from 1 species